rnacentral:rRNA from 1 species
CGUGAUACAGGGUGACAGCCCCGUACACAAAAAUGCACAUGCUGUGAGCUCGAUGAGUAGGGCGGGACACGUGGUAUCCUGUCUGAAUAUGGGGGGACCAUCCUCCAAGGCUAAAUACUCCUGACUGACCGAUAGUGAACCAGUACCGUGAGGGAAAGGCGAAAAGAACCCCGGCGAGGGGAGUGAAAAAGAACCUGAAACCGUGUACGUACAAGCAGUGGGAGCACGCUUAGGCGUGUGACUGCGUACCUUUUGUAUAAUGGGUCAGCGACUUAUAUUCUGUAGCAAGGUUAACCGAAUAGGGGAGCCGAAGGGAAACCGAGUCUUAACUGGGCGUUAAGUUGCAGGGUAUAGACCCGAAACCCGGUGAUCUAGCCAUGGGCAGGUUGAAGGUUGGGUAACACUAACUGGAGGACCGAACCGACUAAUGUUGAAAAAUUAGCGGAUGACUUGUGGCUGGGGGUGAAAGGCCAAUCAAACCGGGAGAUAGCUGGUUCUCCCCGAAAGCUAUUUAGGUAGCGCCUCGUGAAUUCAUCUCCGGGGGUAGAGCACUGUUUCGGCAAGGGGGUCAUCCCGACUUACCAACCCGAUGCAAACUGCGAAUACCGGAGAAUGUUAUCACGGGAGACACACGGCGGGUGCUAACGUCCGUCGUGAAGAGGGAAACAACCCAGACCGCCAGCUAAGGUCCCAAAGUCAUGGUUAAGUGGGAAACGAUGUGGGAAGGCCCAGACAGCCAGGAUGUUGGCUUAGAAGCAGCCAUCAUUUAAAGAAAGCGUAAUAGCUCACUGGUCGAGUCGGCCUGCGCGGAAGAUGUAACGGGGCUAAACCAUGCACCGAAGCUGCGGCAGCGACGCUUAUGCGUUGUUGGGUAGGGGAGCGUUCUGUAAGCCUGUGAAGGUGUACUGUGAGGUAUGCUGGAGGUAUCAGAAGUGCGAAUGCUGACAUAAGUAACGAUAAAGCGGGUGAAAAGCCCGCUCGCCGGAAGACCAAGGGUUCCUGUCCAACGUUAAUCGGGGCAGGGUGAGUCGACCCCUAAGGCGAGGCCGAAAGGCGUAGUCGAUGGGAAACAGGUUAAUAUUCCUGUACUUGGUGUUACUGCGAAGGGGGGACGGAGAAGGCUAUGUUGGCCGGGCGACGGUUGUCCCGGUUUAAGCGUGUAGGCUGGUUUUCCAGGCAAAUCCGGAAAAUCAAGGCUGAGGCGUGAUGACGAGGCACUACGGUGCUGAAGCAACAAAUGCCCUGCUUCCAGGAAAAGCCUCUAAGCAUCAGGUAACAUCAAAUCGUACCCCAAACCGACACAGGUGGUCAGGUAGAGAAUACCAAGGCGCUUGAGAGAACUCGGGUGAAGGAACUAGGCAAAAUGGUGCCGUAACUUCGGGAGAAGGCACGCUGAUAUGUAGGUGAAGUCCCUCGCGGAUGGAGCUGAAAUCAGUCGAAGAUACCAGCUGGCUGCAACUGUUUAUUAAAAACACAGCACUGUGCAAACACGAAAGUGGACGUAUACGGUGUGACGCCUGCCCGGUGC